rnacentral:rRNA from 1 species
CCCCUAGAUGUUCUGGGCCGCACGCGCGCUACACUGAACAGUUCAACAAGUCUUAACCUUGGCCGAUAGGUCUGGGUAAUCUUUGAACGCUGUUCGUGAUUGGGAUAGACCUUUGCAAUUAUGGGUCUUCAACGAGGAAUUCCUAGUAAACGCAAGUCAUCAGCUUGCAUUGAUUACGUCCCUGCCCUUUGUACACACCGCCCGUCGCACCAACCGAUUGAAUGGUCCGGUGAAAUCUCGGGACGGCGGCUUGGUCGCUUGCGUCCGACUGCUGAAACUUGAUUAAACCAUAUCAUUUAGAGGAAGGUGAAGUCGUANCA